CGAAUAACUCAGAUGGUAGAGUGUGUGCUUCGCAUGUAUAAAGUCGUGGGUUCGAUUCCCACUCCGUCC
rnacentral:tRNA from 1 species